AACGAACGCUGGCGGCAGGCCUAACACAUGCAAGUCGAGCGAAGCCUUCGGGCUUAGCGGCGGACGGGUGAGUAACGCGUGGGAACGUGCCCUUUGGUACGGAAUAGCCCCGGGAAACUGGGAGUAAUACCGUAUGUGCCCUUCGGGGGAAAGAUUUAUCGCCAAAGGAUCGGCCCGCGUUGGAUUAGGUAGUUGGUGGGGUAAUGGCCUACCAAGCCGACGAUCCAUAGCUGGUUUGAGAGGAUGAUCAGCCACACUGGGACUGAGAGACGGGCCAGACUCCUACGGGAGGCAGCAGUGGGGAAUCUUAGACAAUGGGGGAAACCCUGAUCUAGCCAUGCCGCGUGAUCGAUGAAGGCCUUAGGGUUGUAAAGAUCUUUCAGUGGGGAAGAUAGUGACUGUACCCACAGAAGAAGCCCCGGCUAACUCCGUGCCAGCAGCCGCGGUAAUAC
rnacentral:rRNA from 1 species